UUAUCUUAGAUAAUAGGAUAACCUAUUAUUGUUGCUUUGCUAAAAUGACAUGGUAUCAAAGUGCCUUCUAAAUGUUUCUGUUUACAGCCAUAGAUUGGUGCUGCUCUCAGCCUUGGUCGGGAGCGUCUGUUUGCAGUAGGUGAUGGUUAAUGUAGAGACUCAACACUGGAUAAAGUACUGAGCAGAAGUGACUGUGGACAUCUGUUUUGACUCCUCAAGGCUCAGGGAACAUCAUGGAGGACACCCCACAUGCCACCUACUGGAUUCCAUCCCUUGCUGUGAGACAUUUUGAUUUCAGCUCAGCUGCCCUUCAUUCGCCAGAGCUCUGUAUGGAAGUCACAGUGAGAUGGACUCCGCUACCCUAGGCCUGCAGAACCGCAGCACGUGGCACUCAAUCACCUCCCCUUCCAUUUCACGGAGCUCCUCUUCACUAAGAACUAGAAGGAGAAGGAAGGACUCUUCAGUCAGGCAACAGGCAACAUUCCAGCUGCUCCUUCCUAACACACAUCAGUUCCUUAUGUUUUUUUUGGGCUAGUUGAAGAUCUUUGCUGCUCCGGAAGCAAUCAAAAACAUUGGACUUCACUAGAGUGGCCAGGGCCUUGAUCAUGGUUUUCAUGUUCCAGCAG